rnacentral:rRNA from 1 species
UACGAAGGGGGCUAGCGUUGUUCGGAAUUAUUGGGCGUAAAGCGCGUGUAGGCGGCCUUGCAAGUUGGGUGUGAAAGCCCUCGGCUUAACCGAGGAAGUGCGGCCCAAAACUAUGAGGCUUGAGUACCGGAGAGGGUGGGCGGAAUUCCCGGUGUAGAGGUGAAAUUCGUAGAUAUCGGGAGGAACACCAGUGGCGAAGGCGGGCCACCUGGACGGAUACUGACGCUGAGACGCGAAAGCGUGGGUAGCAAAACAGGAUUGA